GCCGCCGCCGCCCCACAGGCUGACGACGACGUCGGUGGCGUUGGCGGGCGCGGACCACGUCUGCGACGUGCCCAUGAGCACGCUGUAGCGGUGGGCGUGAGCCGGUCCCGUCGCGCACCCGAGGAGCGCCACAAGGGCAACAAAGAUAGGUAGGCAGCGACGACUCAUGACGGAUCAGUCGACAGGGGCUGCGCUUUGCCAGGGUCAUCGCCGAUUUGGUCGGUCCGUCGGUCCGCCGACCGGGCGCGCUCGCGUCGUGCCGGUUGACGCGACCAAAGAAAACAUGCCCCUUGUGUGCCUAUCGAAUUGUCGAAAAACCUCUUUCCUUGGUGCGCGCGCCUGCAUUGAUCGGUUCCUUUUGUGCUCUUUUUGUUGCGUGCGCGCUGCCGGCGCGCCGUCGGUUUUUCUCCUCUCUUUUUUUUGCCCCCUUUUUUUGUUUUAUAAUUCCCUUGCUGCAAUAUGUGUAUGUGUGUGCGCCCACCCACGGCGCGCAGACGAGGAAAGGGCAGGGAGGAAAAAAUACGCGCAAGGCGCGCCGCUGCAG
rnacentral:lncRNA from 1 species